UUCUUUUACUCUUUUUCUCUUCUUACUUCUUCUUCUUCUUUUCUCCUUGUCUUUCCUCUUCUCUGGCCGAAACACAGAGAGACCGAGAGAGUGGGAUCAGAGAUGAGAGAGAGAGAUCAGUUGAGGGAGAGAUGCAGACGAGAGGGAGAGAACCCGAUAGAGACACAGAGAGAGGAACCGAGCGGGAGAGAGACACGAAACAGGGAGGGAGAGCUGGAGAAGCGGGAGAAGACCCGAUGAACCCUGUGACCGUCGACGCCGAGGGAACCAGGACCUGAUCUUCCGGUGGAUCAACGCCGGCGAAGCAGAAGGUGAUUUCCGGCCAUAUGAAGUGGUUUCCGGCGACGGGCAGAAAACCAUCCCUUUGAUGAUUUCCGAUCGGUUUCUCAGAAACUCUUAAGGAUAAUGAGCAACGAGAACUAUACCAAAGAGCUUAUACGCAAUUACAUACUUGUUGGUGCAGGCUCUAAGGUUCUAAAGGUGAAGGAUUGGACUAUGCUAACGUUAAAGAUUUAGAGCUAAUGAUAAUGUAGUUGAUUAUAUUUUUUUGUAAUCAUCAAUAUUUGUAAUCUUUUAGUCCGUAACAUGUUUAGAAAUGUUUGUAUUUAGUAGGUUUUUUAUGUAUGCUUUUCAUGUAAUGCUUAUGUGUAAUUGAUGACAAGUUAUGAUCUAAUUAGUUAAAUAAACUCAUAUUAAACGUAUAGAGGUAUUUUAGUUAGCUCAACGUGUUAUGGUAUAAAUUCAUAAGUCUUUAAGUUGAAAAAAAAAUAUAUAUUCCGCUACUAAAUCUUAUCUAUACUACUGAUUAGCACAUGCAUGGAAGAAUUUAGAGUUGCAAUCACCAAACCGGAGCCAGUUUUCUUUGGCUCUUUGUUUCGAUUUCAUCUCUUCUUACUCCAUGAGGGCAUGCAACUCUUCUUUAAUGGGGGCUUUUGUAUCCGGAAGAGCAGUAUUGUCUUGCAUCUGGAGCAAAUGUAGCUCCUGUUCUUUCUUUGAUAUUUGCUCAUAUAUAUAAGGGCAAUUAUAUAUAUAUAUAUAUAAUUGCCCUUAUAUGAGGUCUCACCGGCCCUUAUAUCAUAUUUUUUUUCU